GUCCGAAGCCUCCAAAGCGUUACCGAUUCGGCAUUUCAUCGGAUCCCUUAAAACUCUAUGCAGUGCACAGCAGGAGAUUGGAGCUUCUGAAGGACCCAAUAUAUUAUAUAGCCCGUGUGGUUGGGCUUAUGCUUAUGUAACCACUCCAAAAGCAUACAGCAAUAACGCGUAAUAAACACAACAAAUUGUGUUCAAUUUUUUUCCAACUUUUCAAUUUAUAUAAAACUGCAUGCAGAGUACAGUUAGAAAUUCAUAGAAUACCAAAAGUGCCAGCCAGUGACCAGAACACCGAUGGAUAUGCAGCUAGGCGCCAUGCUGCACGUGUACAAGGGGGAGUGGCGUCUGCCGACCAUUGACUUUGAAUGUUUACGUGCACUGCAGUGUCUUCUGCGAUUCACCCGCUGUCCAAUGGACGUGGAAACGAAUGCGAAUCCCCUUCACUCUGGAGCUGGAAAGUUGCCCUAUCUGCAGAUUGGCAAAUGACAAAUUCGUGGGCUACGGUAAAAUAAAGCGCGUGCUGGAUAUUGAGGGCGAAAUUUAAUGCAAAUC